GGGAGAAGACAGCAGAAUCAUCUAGUUAUGGAUAGUCAUUUCUACACAACGUUCAGAUUAAAUGCAUUCAAAAUUUCCAGAAAACUCAUCCAUAUAGAGAACUGCAGAUUAAUUGAUGGGAUUUGGACCAUGUUACCAAAAUGUUAAAGAGAGAUACUAACGGAAACAUGAUUUUGGGGAAUACGUGCCAAAAUAUUAAUUACUAAAAUUUGUGAAGUGCUUUGAAAUUUAAGGACCUUUUCUAUUGAUUAUCUCAUUUGAUAUUCACACAAGUCACAUAAUUGGGAGGUGUUGGAAGGGGGCUACAUUUUCACUUGAUUCUACGUUCUAUGUUCUUUUCAUUCCCAAGUGAAUUGGCAAAACAUUCUGAAGGCCUUGGUGGUGUUGUCAGAGUGGAUUGUAAUCAUGUCUAAAUCCCCACCUCAGCCUAUUUAACUUCUGGUGGCUCCAUGAACACUGCCUGCACAGUGGCUUUCUGCAGUUAGCUUUCCAGUUCCAUUAGUGACAGAGUACGACAGUGUGCCUUGAUCAGUUCAAAUCUAUCUCAUAUAAUGGAGAAGUGUUCAUUCAACAUUUGCGGAAUAUUUGCUCUCUGCCAGUCUUUUCUAUGCCAGGACAGAGAGGUACUCAGGGAUAGAAGCCCAGAUUGGGAAAAAACUCAUAAGAUAAAGAUGGAGAUGCUGAAUCAUAUUAUUAAAGUGGCACUAUGGUCUCAACAUCGUCUUAGUUUCUGAUUUCUCUGAGAUACCCUCCACACCCCCCAAGGCACAAAUGUUCAAUUCAAGGGUGAAAUACUUUCUCAAGAUUAAGAAGAAAAGUUUGUCAAGAUGAAGAAAUUUCGGGGAAAGGUGAAGAUGCAUGGGAAUCUAACGAAUGUAAGAGGCAUUUAGAUACAUCAGGGUGCAAUUAAA
rnacentral:lncRNA from 1 species